GCAUAUCAAUAAGCGGAGGAAAAGAAACCAACAGGGAUUGCCUUAGUAACGGCGAGUGAAGCGGCAAAAGCUCAAAUUUGAAAUCUGGCGUCUUCGGCGUCCGAGUUGUAAUUUGAAGAAGGCUACUUUGGGGCUGGAGUUUGUCUAAGUUCCUUGGAACAGGACGUCACAGAGGGUGAGAAUCCCGUGAGAUAAGCUUCCCAGUUCUAUGUAAAGUGCUUUCGAAGAGUCGAGUUGUUUGGGAAUGCAGCUCUAAGUGGGUGGUAAAUUCCAUCUAAAGCUAAAUAUUGGCGAGAGACCGAUAGCGAACAAGUACAGUGAUGGAAAGAUGAAAAGAACUUUGAAAAGAGAGUGAAAAAGUACGUGAAAUUGUUGAAAGGGAAGGGCUUGAGAUCAGACAUGGUAUUUUGUAAACCUUCUCUCUCGUGGAGGGGGCCCCUUGCAGCUUACUGGGCCAGCAUCAGUUUGGGCGGUAGGAUAAUGACUAAGGAAUGUGACUUGCCUUCGGGGAAGUGUUAUAGCCUUGGUUGAUACUGCCAGCCUAGACUGAGGACCGCGUCUUUGACAA
rnacentral:rRNA from 1 species